CAGUAGCCACGGGAAUACGGAGGGUGCAAGCGUUAAUCGGAAUUACUGGGCGUAAAGCGCACGCAGGCGGUCUGUUAAGUCAGAUGUGAAAUCCCCGGGCUCAACCCGGGAACUGCAUUUGAAACUGGCAGGCUUGAGUCUUGUAGAGGGGGGUAGAAUUCCAGGUGUAGCGGUGAAAUGCGUAGAGAUCUGGAGGAAUACCGGUGGCGAAGGCGGCCCCCUGGACAAAGACUGACGCUCAGGUGCGAAAGCGUGGGGAGCAAACAGGAUUAGAUACCCCAGUAGUCCCUGUCUCUUAUAC
rnacentral:rRNA from 1 species